AGCGUACACGGUGGAUGCCUAGGCAGUCAGAGGCGAUGAAGGGCGUGCUAAUCUGCGAAAAGCGUCGGUAAGGUGAUAUGAACCGUUACAACCGGCGAUACCCGAAUGGGGAAACCCAGUGUGUUUCGACACACUAUCAUGUCAUGAAUACAUAGUGGCAUGAGGCGAACCGGGGGAACUGAAACAUCUAAGUACCCCGAGGAAAAGAAAUCAACCGAGAUUCCCCCAGUAGCGGCGAGCGAACGGGGAGGAGCCCAGAACCUGAAUCGGCUUGUGUGUUAGUGGAAGCGUCUGGAAAGUCGCGCAGCAAAGGGUGAUAGCCCCGUACACUAAAAUGCACAGGUCGUGAGUUCGAUGAGUAGGGCGGGACACGUGACAUCCUGUCUGAAUAUGGGGGGACCAUCCUCCAAGGCUAAAUACUCCUGACUGACCGAUAGUGAACCAGUACCGUGAGGGAAAGGCGAAAAGAACCCCGGCGAGGGGAGUGAAAUAGAACCUGAAACCGUGUACGUACAAGCAGUGGGAGCACCUUCGUGGUGUGACUGCGUACCUUUUGUAUAAUGGGUCAGCGACUUAUAUUUUGUAGCAAGGUUAACCGUAUAGGGGAGCCGUAGGGAAACCGAGUCUUAACUGGGCGAUUAGUUGCAAGGUAUAGACCCGAAACCCGGUGAUCUAGCCAUGGGCAGGUUGAAGGUUGGGUAACACUAACUGGAGGACCGAACCGACUAAUGUUGAAAAAUUAGCGGAUGACUUGUGGCUGGGGGUGAAAGGCCAAUCAAACCGGGAGAUAGCUGGUUCUCCCCGAAAGCUAUUUAGGUAGCGCCUCGUGAACUCAUCUUCGGGGGUAGAGCACUGUUUCGGCUAGGGGGCCAUCCCGGCUUACCAAACCGAUGCAAACUCCGAAUACCGAAGAAUGUUAUCACGGGAGACACACGGCGGGUGCUAACGUCCGUCGUGAAGAGGGAAACAACCCAGACCGCCAGCUAAGGUCCCAAAGUCAUGGUUAAGUGGGAAACGAUGUGGGAAGGCACAGACAGCCAGGAUGUUGGCUUAGAAGCAGCCAUCAUUUAAAGAAAGCGUAAUAGCUCACUGGUCGAGUCGGCCUGCGCGGAAGAUGUAACGGGGCUAAACCAUGCACCGAAGCUGCGGCAGCGACGCUUAGGCGUUGUUGGGUAGGGGAGCGUUCUGUAAGCCGUUGAAGGUGGCCUGUGAGGGUUGCUGGAGGUAUCAGAAGUGCGAAUGCUGACAUAAGUAACGAUAAAGCGGGUGAAAAGCCCGCUCGCCGGAAGACCAAGGGUUCCUGUCCAACGUUAAUCGGGGCAGGGUGAGUCGACCCCUAAGGCGAGGCUGAAAAGCGUAGUCGAUGGGAAACAGGUUAAUAUUCCUGUACUUGGUGUUACUGCGAAGGGGGGACGGAGAAGGCUAGGCUGGCCGGGCGACGGUUGUCCCGGUUUAAGCGUGUAGGGGGUGUGACCUGGUAAAUCCGGUUGCAUACUAACCCUGAGGCGUGAUGACGAUGCACUACGGUGCAGAAGUAGUUGAUGCCCUGCUUCCAGGAAAAUCCUCUAAGCUCCAGGUAACAUUAAAUCGUACCCCAAACCGACACAGGUGGUCAGGUAGAGAAUACCAAGGCGCUUGAGAGAACUCGGGUGAAGGAACUAGGCAAAAUGGUGCCGUAACUUCGGGAGAAGGCACGCUGGCAUGUAGGUGAAGUCCCUUGCGGAUGGAGCUGAAGCCAGUCGAAGAUACCAGCUGGCUGCAACUGUUUAAUAAAAACACAGCACUGUGCAAACACGAAAGUGGACGUAUACGGUGUGACGCCUGCCCGGUGCUGGAAGGUUAAUUGAUGGGGUCAGCCGCAAGGCGAAGCUCUUGAUCGAAGCCCCAGUAAACGGCGGCCGUAACUAUAACGGUCCUAAGGUAGCGAAAUUCCUUGUCGGGUAAGUUCCGACCUGCACGAAUGGCGUAAUGAUGGCCAGGCUGUCUCCACCCGAGACUCAGUGAAAUUGAACUCGCUGUGAAGAUGCAGUGUACCCGCGGCAAGACGGAAAGACCCCGUGAACCUUUACUAUAGCUUGACACUGAACAUUGAGCCUUGAUGUGUAGGAUAGGUGGGAGGCUUUGAAGCGUGGACGCCAGUCUGCGUGGAGCCAUCCUUGAAAUACCACCCUUUAAUGUUUGAUGUUCUAACUCNGGGGUGAGGACAGUGUCUGGUGGGUAGUUUGACUGGGGCGGUCUCCUCCCAAAGAGUAACGGAGGAGCACGAAGGUUAGCUAAUCACGGUCGGACAUCGUGAGGUUAGUGCAAAGGCAUAAGCUAGCUUGACUGCGAGAGUGACGGCUCGAGCAGGUACGAAAGUAGGUCUUAGUGAUCCGGUGGUUCUGAAUGGAAGGGCCAUCGCUCAACGGAUAAAAGGUACUCCGGGGAUAACAGGCUGAUACCGCCCAAGAGUUCAUAUCGACGGCGGUGUUUGGCACCUCGAUGUCGGCUCAUCACAUCCUGGGGCUGAAGUAGGUCCCAAGGGUAUGGCUGUUCGCCAUUUAAAGUGGUACGCGAGCUGGGUUUAGAACGUCGUGAGACAGUUCGGUCCCUAUCUGCCGUGGGCGUUGGAAGAUUGAGAGGGGUUGCUCCUAGUACGAGAGGACCGGAGUGAACGCACCACUGGUGUUCGGGUUGUCAUGCCAAUGGCAUUGCCCGGUAGCUAAGUGCGGAAAAGAUAAGCGCUGAAAGCAUCUAAGCGCGAAACUUGCCUCAAGAUGAGUCU
rnacentral:rRNA from 1 species